rnacentral:rRNA from 1 species
UACGUAGGGUGCGAGCGUUGUCCGGAAUUAUUGGGCGUAAAGAGCUCGUAGGCGGUCUGUCGCGUCGGUCGUGAAAACUUACAGCUUAACUGUGAGCGUGCUUCCGAUACGGGCAGACUUGAGGUAUUCAGGGGAGAACGGAAUUCCUGGUGUAGCGGUGAAAUGCGCAGAUAUCAGGAGGAACACCGGUGGCGAAGGCGGUUCUCUGGGAAGAUCCUGACGCUGAGGAGCGAAAGUGUGGGGAGCGAACAGG